GAUGAACGCUGGCGGCGUGCUUAACACAUGCGAGUCGAACGGUGAAGGCGGAGCUUGCUCUGCUGGAUCAGUGGCGAACGGGUGAGUAACACGUGAGCAAUCUGCCCCUGACUCUGGGAUAAGCGCUGGAAACGGCGUCUAAUACUGGAUACGAGCUGCGAAGGCAUCUUCAGCAGCUGGAAAGAACUUCGGUCAGGGAUGAGCUCGCGGCCUAUCAGCUUGUUGGUGAGGUAACGGCUCGCCAAGGCGUCGACGGGUAGCCGGCCUGAGAGGGUGACCGGCCACACUGGGACUGAGACACGGCCCAGACUCCUACGGGAGGCAGCAGUGGGGAAUAUUGCACAAUGGGCGAAAGCCUGAUGCAGCAACGCCGCGUGAGGGACGACGGCCUUCGGGUUGUAAACCUCUUUUAGCAGGGAAGAAGCGAAAGUGACGGUACCUGCAGAAAAAGCGCCGGCUAACUACGUG
rnacentral:rRNA from 1 species